AAUACAUAAGAACCGAACUUUGAUUGUUUUCAUGGAUCAAAGCUCAAAGACAAAACUUACAAGUGAUGUUUGUAAUGCCUUAAAAAGUUCAAAAAAACAGAGGGUAAUAAAUACCCUUUGUCGGAUUCUCAUCUCUAUAUUUGCAUCUCCUCUAAUUUGUUCACUUUGUCCUUUUCACCCCUUUUUCUCUUGUUUCAAAUAUUCUUCAUAGGCUCGAUUUUGAGGAGGGGGAAACCACUAAAAGUGGUAAAAGUGGAAGGAGACCUU
rnacentral:lncRNA from 1 species